rnacentral:rRNA from 1 species
CGAACGCUGGCGGCGUGCCUAAUACAUGCAAGUCGAGCGAAGUUUUUCUGGUGCUUGCACUAGAAAAACUUAGCGGCGAACGGGUGAGUAACACGUAAAUAACCUGCCUCAUAGACUGGGACAACUAUUGGAAACGAUAGCUAAUACCGGAUAACAGCAUUAACUGCAUGGUUGAUGUUUAAAAGUUGGUUUUGCUAACACUAUGAGAUGGCUUUGCGGUGCAUUAGCUAGUUGGUGGGGUAAAGGCCUACCAAGGCGACGAUGCAUAGCCGACCUGAGAGGGUGAUCGGCCACACUGGGACUGAGACACGGCCCAGACUCCUACGGGAGGCAGCAGUAGGGAAUCUUCCGCAAUGGGCGAAAGCCUGAUGGAGCAACGCCGCGUGAGUGAAGAAGGAUUUCGGUUCGUAAAGCUCUGUUGUUAGGGAAGAAUGAGUGUGUAGUAAAUAGACACAGGAGAGACGGUACCUAACCAGAAAGCCACGGCUAACUACGUG